UACGUAGGGUGCGAGCGUUAAUCGGAAUUACUGGGCGUAAAGCGUGCGCAGGCGGUUGUGCAAGACAGAUGUGAAAUCCCCGGGCUUAACCUGGGAACUGCAUUUGUGACUGCACGGCUAGAGUGUGUCGAGAGGGGGGUAGAAUUCCACGUGUAGCAGUGAAAUGCGUAGAUAUGUGGAGGAAUACCGAUGGCGAAGGCCAGCCCCCUGGGAUAACACUGACGCUCAUGGCACGAAAAGCGUAGGGGGAGCAAACAGG
rnacentral:rRNA from 1 species